CCAAACUCCUACGGGAGGCAGCAGUGGGGAAUAUUGCACAAUGGGCGAAAGCCUGAUGCAGCAACGCCGCGUGAGUGAUGAAGGCCUUCGGGUCGUAAAACCCUGUCCUCAAGGAAGAUAAUGACGGUACUUGAGGAGGAAGCCCCGGCUAACUACGUGCCAGCAGCCGCGGUAAUACGUAGGGGGCUAGCGUUAUCCGGAUUUACU
rnacentral:rRNA from 1 species